UCCAACCUUUUACUAGCAAGUGUACCUAAUAAAGUGGCCGGUCCAGGAUUGACACCCAUCACAUGGGGGGUGCACUGAUAAGUGGUCACCAAGCUACCAUCUCAGCAGACGUUCAGGGUCUUCUCUCCUCUGUUGCGAUCUAGAAGUGUACCUGUCCAGACCAGCCCAGCACUCUUCAGUCCACUCGUCGCUUUGCUUCACUUCACUAAAUUCAUACCAGCUUUGUUAGGCUCUGGAAAACUGUGAACAUUUGGGAAAAGUAGGAGACGAGUGCUGUGUUUUGAUGACCCUUUUGUCCUGUCAUAGUAGAGCUAGGGUAGCUUUUUGUAUUCUUGUUUCUUUUAAAUUUGGGGUUUAGUUGGUUUAAAACUAUCAGCUGUUAUUUUAAUGUUAACUCGUCCAUGAAAUUCCACCUUCCUGUCCAGCUUGGCCUCUUGUCAAAAAAAUAAACAAGCUGAUUCACUGGUUAAAAA